AGGACGAACGUUGGCGGCGUGCCUUACACAUGCAAGUCGUACGCGAAAGGGGAAUCCAGCUUGCUGGGGACCCCCCGGUAGAGUGGCGAACGGGAGCAUAACACGUGAGGAACCUGCCUCGGAGUGGGAAUAACCCAGAGAAAUCUGGGCUAAUUCCGCAUGAUGCAGCGGCCCCGCAUGGGGACAGUUGUGAAAGACCGCCUCUGCUUGCAAGCGGUCGCUUCGAGAUGGUCUCGCGGCCUAUCAGCUAGUGGCGGGUAAUGGCCCACCAAGGCGACGACGGGUA
rnacentral:rRNA from 1 species